rnacentral:lncRNA from 10 species
GCCUGGAGGAAGGGCAGGGCCGCGGGCUCGGCACUGGGAACAAAGGGGACCGGCGGAAGGAACGCCCCCAGUCGAUCCCGGAGCGAUGCCCGGGUGGACCAGGGGCUUAGCUCCGGAGAGAGGUUUCCCACUGGAUUCGUGCACAGCCCCUCCCCUGCGGCGCCGGCUCUGCGAGCCCCAGUUUCCUCAUCUGGCAGCUGGAAACAAAUCCUUCCGGAAGUGUCCAGGACCCACGAAAGUGUUUUAAUUUCUUUUAGUUUUGGUAAAAAGUACUAAACGCGACCGGGCGUGGGGGCUCACGCCUGUAAUCCCAGCACUUUGGGAGACCGAGGCUGACGGAUCACUUGAGGUCAGGAGUUCGAGGCCAGUCUGGCCAACAUGGUGAAACCCCGUCUCUGCUCAAAAUACAAAAAUUAGCCGGGCGUGGUGGCAUGCGCCUGUAAUCCCAGGUACUCGGGUGACUGAGGCAGGAGAAUCGCUUGAACCCGGGAGGCGGAGGUUGCAGUGAGCCAAGAUCGCACCAUUGCACUCCAGCCUGAGCGACAGAGCGAGACCCUAUCUCAAAUAAAUAAAUACAUACAUAAAAAGGGCAGGGCACGGUGGCUCACGCCUGUAAUCCCAACACUUUGGGAGGCCGAGGCGGGCGGAUCACCUGAGGUCAGGAGUUCGAGACCAGCCUGGUCAACAUGGUAAAACCCCUUCUCUACUAAUAACACAAAAAUUAGCUGGGCAUGGUGGCGGGCGCCUGUAGUCUCAGCUACUCAAGAGGCUGAGUCACGAGAACCGCUUGAACCCAGGAGGUGGAGGUUGCAGUGAGCCAAGAUCACACCACCGCACUCCAGCCUAGGCAACAGAGUGAAACUGUGUCAAAAAAAAAAAAAAAAAGAAAAAGAAAAAGAAAGAAAGAAGAAAGAAAGAAAAGAAAAGAAAAAAGAAAAGAGAAGAAAAAGUACUGAAUGCAGUGGAAAGUAGCAUUUUUAAUUUUUUAUAAAGUGGAAGAUAGGCCCACAAAGCAAAAGUGCCCAGAGCUGACAAAAAUCUCUGGAGAAAGGACCUCUCUGGUCGUUGCCAAAGGGAGCAGCUGACGCUGUUGUAAAGCCCGCAGCUCGAUUCCCAGCGUGAAGUAGGGGUUUGCGUCAAAUGCCGAAUGACCGUAGAAAGGUGGACGUUGAGUUCUUCAGCAGCUUCUGGUGUAGUUGUAAGAGGACCAGCUUCCGUGAUUGCUCUCAGUUGGUGGUUGUCAACUUCCGACGACUGGCCGCUACGCUCCUCAUCUUCAAGGCUCUCCUCUCUUUUGCAAAACUUCUUGAACCCCCACUGCACGGUAACUGUGGCCACGUGGACCAAGCCAACGCCGGCUCCUCUCAUUCCCAUUGAGAUCAGCAAGGCAACUCCAGCCUGUACCACCAAUAUCCCCAGGCCAGGAGAACAGCCAGUGAAAGCCCAUUUGAAAGACUGCCAUAUUCCUCACCAAUCCGUUUCUCAAGGCCAAGUGUCUCUGGCUUUGCCAUGUCAUUUUGCACAGAGCAGCAUUCAGAACAUUAGCCAAAGCAGCAAACUGCUAAAGCAGCUGCCCACACCCCCUGAAAGAAUGCACCUAAAUCAAUAACUUCAUUCCAGUAUGACUAUACAUAUUGGUGCAGCCAUGCUCUUCCUUCAAGAAGCAAUUCUUCAUUCUCCUUCCAUAAUAAUGCAUUUCACUCCCAGGCCUGGUUGAGUUUCAAUUCUGGUUACCAGCCAGGUAAAAAUGUGUAGUAGCAGGGCAUGAGAGCGUGGUUAUUUUCCCUCAAAGGGCGAGGACUCUUCCUAAGGGAGGAGAGGCACAGUGGAGUGUUGUAGAGUGGUAGGACCGGGGGAGUCUCGGAAUAUUUCUGGAUAUUUUUAUUCCAGUUCCAUCUUGUCGGGCUUUCUUUCUUUCUCAACCAUUGCCCUCACUUUUGGUUAAAAGUA